GGGAAUUCUAAGCAACAAAAUAGGCUGCCUCCUAGUAAUUAACACGCAUGCAUUAAUCGAGGAGGCAAACGAACGCCAAGACCCAACGCCGCCCACUCAAUCGAUCUCCUCUCAGUACCCAAUCCACCCAACGCCGCUUCCCCGCCGCCUCGGCUCCGGCCAUCCAUGGCUCCGGCUGGGCCGCACCACCAAGCGCGUCUCCUUGCAGUCCCCGAGCACCCGCCGCCCCCAAUCCAUGGAGGGAGGGCCUCACCUUCACCCCAUCCCAACUUCUCCUCGGUCUAGGUAGACGGCCACGGUGAAGAUGUGGGGACGAUUAGGUCGCCAAUCCGACCUCCAGGCUCCAGCUCCAGCUCCAGGGGGAGCCCCGCCCGCAAAUGCGACCACAGGUUGGGGCGGAGUUGCAUCCGUCGUCCUGGUGGCUGGUGUCGACUAGCAGUGCGGGCGACGGCCUCGGCGGGCGGGAGAAGUUCGCUGCGGUGCAGGCAUGGUGCAGCGAGACGUGGAGGGCACCCUGCUGGUCGCCUUCCCGGAGCUACUGGUGGCGUCCAUGGGGGGCUGCUGUCGGCGUCUUGCAGCGAUUACCUCCGCGAUCUCCUUCUUCUAGCCACCAUGUCCGCAACCCACUGCUGCCAGCCACGUCAACGACAUGCUUCUUCUCGAUCUGCUCGGGUCAUUCCAGAGCUGCUAGAUGCAUUAUUCAGCAACCUGCGCCCGUUUUUGAUUCCAUGUACUAGGCUGGAUCUCACCGUGGAUCAAGGACUGCUUGGAUGCAUCGGCAAGCAACGAUGCACAUCAUAAGCCACAAGGACUAGGCUGGAUGUCUAAAUCAUUUUGGUAGUGGCUGCUGCACUGUCCUGGUGCCGAGAUAAAGGAGCCUUCAAGGCUUGAGGCUGUAUAAUAGGAAGGUGUUGGCUACUCUUAUGAAUGAGAAUGAACACCAGCUGGUUGUUGAGGAGAACGCUGCGCAUUUGUGGCAACAGAUAAUUUGGCAACUAAAUAGUUCAGCCAUGGGAAAGGAGAAGUCUCACACUAACAUUGUGGUCACUAGCCAUGUCGACUCUUGUAAGUCGACCGCAAUUGGCCAUCUAGUUCAAGAAGUUAGCCGUCGAGACCUGUUAGCACCCUCUUUGUGUGCUCACUCGUGGAGUGAUGUGGAUGAUCUGUUGCUGCAAUAAGGUUCUGCCUGGUCUGGUGCAGGCGGGGGUUAUUCGGCUUGGCAGGUUCUGCCUGGUCUGGUACAACCUCUAUGAAGAAGGGCGCAUCAGAUGGACUGCAUCCCUGCUCCUAGUGGCCUCUAUACAUACUUUCGCCGGCCCACACAUGCAACAAAGGCACUUAUGUUGACCAGGGUGUGGCGGGGUCUGUCAGGAACUCCGAUACUUGCCGGUGUAUGAAAAAACAUAUGAGGACAACUUGACAGCCAUUCUCGUGCAACAAUCUUUUUCACUAGUUCUAUUUGGUACCCCCUCUGACUCAUGCACCGUGGCUCCAACAUGACACCAUGUGGUGGCCUUUGAUGCCGGACCUACCUCGGCCGCUUCUGUUUGUCCGGUGCUCAAGCCACCGGUCCAACCACUUGGGUCAGGUCAGGGGAUGAGCGCUGGGUGCCAGGAUGCCGCCUCUACUGGGUUGCUUCGUCGAUUGUUGCAGCUUAGAGAUUCAUGCUUCCUUAUUGGUGGAAAGCUUGAGAUAGAGUUUUGUCGGCUUGUAUUUGAGAGUUCACUUCUAGGUCAGAUAAAUGGAUUCUCUUGGUGUAUGAUUGAAAUGCACUCCGCUUUACCGCAGCUCGAUGAAUGUACAUCCUUAUUUGGCGUCUUUUGAUUGGCAUGGAGGGAUGACCAAAUCAUCUGGAGCGUCCUCGUGCUUCUAAUUGGAGCGGUUGGUGGUGUCGACCUUGCCAGCGAAGAAGAUGGAGUUUGACGGGGAGGAUGUGUGGAGCACCGCUCAAUCAAUAUGGGGCUCAAGGAAAUCGUCAAGCUGGCUUCUUGUUGAAAGGAAGGCUAGUUGCUUCGGUAGAUUACCACACACAAGUCUAUUCACUUGUAUCAGAUAACAUGUAUGCCUGAUUAUGUAUAUAGAUCCAGAUAUACAAUGUGUAUCUACUUGUGUACUUUGACUAGCUAGUGCUGCUGCACUUAAUUCCCUUAUGACUAUCCUUAUUUUUCCAUGUUGCCAUGCAAUCGUUAAUGUCUAGAAAUCUGCCCAUAUCAUGUUGCCUAAAGCAUCCCUUUGGAGCUGGAAGACCAUCGGGUACAAGGAGACGUCGUCAUAUGCCCGCCGUAGGAAUGAUAGCAAUGUGUUUGGGAUUGAUUGCAGAAACUUCCCCUCCGUGCACCAGCACGUUUUCUUGAUGUUGGUUGUUCGGUGUCCUGGGGUUGCUGUUUGGUGGUAUAUAUUUGUAUGCCUGAAUGUCAUUUGAGAUCUGUGCUUUAUGCACUUUAGUAUCUCUUGAAGUAUAGGUUUUUACCGUGUAUCUAAAAACAGAGUAUGCCAAGCUGAAAUUUGGAAUUAAUUUUGAUUGAUUAAUUACCACUUUUUCUGCCAGUCUUUUACAACU